UACAGAGGUCUCAAGCGUUGUUCGGAUUCAUUGGGCGUAAAGGGUGCGUAGGUGGCGGGGUAAGUCAGGUGUGAAAUCUCGGAGCUCAACUCCGAAACUGCACUUGAUACUGCCUUGCUCGAGUACUGGAGAGGAGAUUGGAAUUUACGGUGUAGCAGUGAAAUGCGUAGAUAUCGUAAGGAAGACCAGUGGCGAAGGCGAAUCUCUGGACAGUUACUGACACUGAAGCACGAAGGCCAGGGGAGCAAACAGG
rnacentral:rRNA from 1 species